GCCGCGGUACCCUAACCGUGCAAAGGUAGCAUAAUCAUUUGUCUAUUAAUUGUAGACCCGUAUGAAAGGCAAAAUGAGAGCCCAACUGUCUCUUAUAAUAAAUCAAUUAAACUGAUCCCUCAGUACAAAAGCUGAGAUACCCCCAUAAGACCAGAAGACCCUGUGAAGCUUUAAUUACCCUAUUAAACCACAUAAUAGCUAAUUUCGGUUGGGGCGACCUUGGAACAAAAAAGAACUUCCAAAUAUACGGCUAAAACCGUCAAAAGGCACACAAGCCUCUAAUAGACCCAGGAUUCCUGACAAAUGAACCAAGUUACUCCAGGGAUAACAGCGCCCUCUUCUUCAAGAGCCCAUAUCAAAAAGAAGGUUUACGACCUCCAUGUUGGAUCAGGACAUCCUAGCAAUGCAACCGUUACUAAGGGUUCGUUUGUUCAACGAUUAACAGUCCUACGUGAUCUGAG
rnacentral:rRNA from 1 species